rnacentral:rRNA from 1 species
GACAGAGGAUGCAAGCGUUAUCCGGAAUGAUUGGGCGUAAAGCGUCUGUAGGCGGCUUUACAGGUCCGUUGUGAAAACUCGAGGCUCAACCUCGAGACGCCGGUGGAAACCGUAAAGCUAGAGUCCGGAAGAGGAGAGUGGAAUUCCUGGUGUAGCGGUGAAAUGCGCAGAUAUCAGGAAGAACACCCGUGGCGAAGGCGGCUCUCUGGGACGGUACUGACGCUGAGACGCGAAAGCGUGGGGAGCGAACAGG